rnacentral:rRNA from 1 species
AGAGUUUGAUCAUGGSUCASAUUGAACGCUGGCGGUAUGCCUUACACAUGCAAGUCGAACGGCAGCACGGACUUCGGUCUGGUGGCGAGCGGACAACAGGCGAUGUAUGUAAUAGCUACUGCAGAGAGACCGUUACACUCUCUCGAC